rnacentral:rRNA from 1 species
UUUGACGAGAGUUUGAUCCUGGCUCAGGAUGAACGCUGGCGGCGUGCCUAAUACAUGCAAGUAGAACGCUGAAGAAAGA